rnacentral:lncRNA from 1 species
GCACAGUGGCCCGAGGGCCUCAUCAGGCUCUGCUGGGCAGGGGCCCUGGCCGGCCAGGCCUCUAACCACCUGGGAGGCCUAGGGCAGGGCUGGAAGGUGCUCUUGUCCCCCCCCACACUAGCCCUCGGACCCUGAGCCCAUCCUCCUUGGGGACCCUGCCUGGGCUGCCCCCAGAGCAGGAGGGCAGGUCCCCUGUUCAGGCCUGUGGUUCCCUGAGGCCCAGCCUGGGGGCUUCUUCUUACUGGGCUGCCAUGCCUGCAGGCCCACCCUAUUUCUCUGUGGCUGGGCCUUGUCAGGGGCACUGAGAGGGCCUGGAGCCCUGCUCUCUCUAGAGGCCCUGUCAGUGCCCCUGUAGGCUGUCAGCCCCCCCAGCAGACCCAGAAACUAGAGCAGGGCCUGGCCCAGGGCAGAGGCUUGGGCUGUGUUGGGUGAGCAGUGGGAACUGAUGAACGAUGGCCACCACUGUGGGCUCCGUAGAGUGGGCCAAGCCAGGGCUGCCCCUUUGGUGCCACAGGCCUCCAGAUGGAUGCAAUGCACCCGAGAGCAGACGGGACGGAGCGGGAGGAGUCCAGUGUCCUCGUGGAGCUCGUGUGAGAUCAGUGUGUGACGUUGGUGGAGCCAUCGAAGUCUGUGCUGGUGUUGCCCGGACAGGUGAUGCAGUGGUUCUGGCCAAACUCGGGCUGGGGAAGCAGCCGGUGCGCCCGGGCUCAGGCUGGUACGUGCCCACGGGGCAGGCCUGGCAGGGCUUGAAGCCAUCGGCCGAGAAGAAGCC